rnacentral:snoRNA from 1 species
UGUAUAGCCCAGUGCUUCCCAGAGUCCUGUGGAGAGUGACUGGGGAGGUAAACCAUGCA